rnacentral:rRNA from 1 species
UACGGAGGGUGCAAGCGUUAUCCGGAUUCACUGGGUUUAAAGGGUGCGUAGGCGGAUUUGUAAGUCCGUGGUGAAAUCUCCGAGCUUAACUCGGAAACUGCCAUGGAUACUAUAAGUCUUGAAUGUUGUGGAGGUUUGCGGAAUAUGUCAUGUAGCGGUGAAAUGCUUAGAUAUGACAUAGAACACCGAUUGCGAAGGCAGCAGGCUACACAAAUAUUGACGCUGAGGCACGAAAGCGUGGGGAUCAAAC